rnacentral:rRNA from 1 species
AGAGUUUGAUCCUGGCUCAGGACGAACGCUGGCGGCGUGCCUAAUACAUGCAAGUAGAACGCUGAAGAGAGGAGCUUGCUCUUCUUGGAUGAGUUGCGAACGGGUGAGUAACGCGUAGGUAACCUGCCUUGUAGCGGGGGAUAACUAUUGGAAACGAUAGCUAAUACCGCAUAACAAUGGAUGACACAUGUCAUUUAUUUGAAAGGGGCAAUUGCUCCACUACAAGAUGGACCUGCGUUGUAUUAGCUAGUAGGUGAGGUAACGGCUCACCUAGGCGACGAUACAUAGCCGACCUGAGAGGGUGAUCGGCCACACUGGGACUGAGACACGGCCCAGACUCCUACGGGAGGCAGCAGUAGGGAAUCUUCGGCAAUGGGGGCAACCCUGACCGAGCAACGCCGCGUGAGUGAAGAAGGUUUUCGGAUCGUAAAGCUCUGUUGUAAGUCAAGAACGAGUGUGAGAGUGGAAAAUUCACACUGUGACGGUAGCUUACCAGAAAGGGACGGCUAACUACGUGCCAGCAGCCGCGGUAAUACGUAGGUCCCGAGCGUUGUCCGGAUUUAUUGGGCGCAAAGCGAGCGCAGGCGGUUUGAUAAGUCUGAAGUUAAAGGCUGUGGCUCAACCAUAGUUCGCUUUGGAAACUGUCAAACUUGAGUGCAGAAGGGGAGAGUGGAAUUCCAUGUGUAGCGGUGAAAUGCGUAGAUAUAUGGAGGAACACCGGUGGCGAAAGCGGCUCUCUGGUCUGUAACUGACGCUGAGGCUCGAAAGCGUGGGGAGCGAACAGGAUUAGAUACCCUGGUAGUCCACGCCGUAAACGAUGAGUGCUAGGUGUUGGAUCCUUUCCGGGAUUCAGUGCCGCAGCUAACGCAUUAAGCACUCCGCCUGGGGAGUACGACCGCAAGGUUGAAACUCAAAGGAAUUGACGGGGGCCCGCACAAGCGGUGGAGCAUGUGGUUUAAUUCGAAGCAACGCGAAGAACCUUACCAGGUCUUGACAUCCCGAUGCUAUUUCUAGAGAUAGAAAGUUACUUCGGUACAUCGGUGACAGGUGGUGCAUGGUUGUCGUCAGCUCGUGUCGUGAGAUGUUGGGUUAAGUCCCGCAACGAGCGCAACCCCUAUUGUUAGUUGCCAUCAUUCAGUUGGGCACUCUAGCGAGACUGCCGGUAAUAAACCGGAGGAAGGUGGGGAUGACGUCAAAUCAUCAUGCCCCUUAUGACCUGGGCUACACACGUGCUACAAUGGUUGGUACAACGAGUUGCGAGUCGGUGACGGCAAGCUAAUCUCUUAAAGCCAAUCUCAGUUCGGAUUGUAGGCUGCAACUCGCCUACAUGAAGUCGGAAUCGCUAGUAAUCGCGGAUCAGCACGCCGCGGUGAAUACGUUCCCGGGCCUUGCACACACCGCCCGUCA